GUGUUCGUAGUGUAGUGGUCGCUGCAUGUCGGCCUGUGACGCCGAAGGUGACGGUUCGAUUCCGUUCGAACACC
rnacentral:tRNA from 1 species